GUGGCAGUGUCAUAGUCAGUGAGGUUUAUUUGAGGCACAGUAUUAUUGCUAAUUUAUCUUUUCCC
rnacentral:snRNA from 1 species